rnacentral:rRNA from 1 species
GAUGAACGCUGGCGGUCUGCUUAACACAUGCAAGUCGAACGGACUCUUUCGGGAGUUAGUGGCGGACGGGUGAGUAACGCGUGAGGAUCUGCCCUUAGGACGGGGACAACAGCUGGAAACGGCUGCUAAUACCCGAUGUGCCGUGAGGUGAAACAUUUAUGGCCUGAGGAUGAGCUCGCGUCUGAUUAGCUAGUUGGUGAGGUAAUGGCUCACCAAGGCGACGAUCAGUAGCUGGUCUGAGAGGAUGACCAGCCACACUGGGACUGAGACACGGCCCAGACUCCUACGGGAGGCAGCAGUGGGGAAUUUUCCGCAAUGGGGGCAACCCUGACGGAGCAAGACCGCGUGGGGGACGAAGGUUUGUGGAUUGUAAACCCCUUUUGAUUGGGAAGAAGACAGUGACGGUACCAAUCGAAUCAGCAUCGGCUAACUCCGUG